rnacentral:rRNA from 1 species
ACAAGCGGAGGAACAUGUGGUUUAAUUCGAUGAUACGCGAGGAACCUUACCCGGGCCUUGAAAUGCAUCUGACCGGCCUUGAAAGAGGCACUCCCUUCGGGGCAGAUGUGUAGGUGCUGCAUGGUUGUCGUCAGCUCGUGUCGUGAGAUGUUGGGUUAAGUCCCGCAACGAGCGCAACCCUUGCCUUUAGUUGCCAGCAGUUCGGCUGGGCACUCUAAAGGGACUGCCGGUGUUAAACCGGAGGAAGGUGGGGAUGACGUCAAGUCCUCAUGGCCUUUAUGACCAGGGCUACACACGUACUACAAUGGCCGAUACAAAGGGCAGCGACACUGCGAGGUGAAGCCAAUCCCGUAAAAUCGGUCUCAGUCCGGAUUGGAGUCUGCAACUCGACUCCAUGAAGUUGGAAUCGCUAGUAAUCGUGGAUCAGCAUGCCACGGUGAAUACGUUCCCGGGCCUU